GUUAACACAUUUCACAUCUUUUAUUUCUUAUUACUGAUGAGAACAAGGAGGACAGCUCUUGGUGAAUUCCUUCUGGGCCUCCUCUCAGAGAAGAAGGGGUGGGACAGGUUUGCUGGAGGAGGGCUCAACUUGUUAUUGAGGAAGAGAUCCAGUUGCAGAUGACAGCGGAGUGCUAACACAGACAGACAAAAACAGAUUUGCCCCUGAUACCCUACUGAGGCUCCAUUUUUAUUCUGUGCCACAAAUCCACAACCCUCAGAGAAAUGGUGUGAUUAAUCAUCAAUGCCUGCAGGUACGUGGUGCUGAAGAUCCGGGCUGCAGUGAGAGGCAACGUGCAGCCAGAGAAAACAAGCACCACAGCAUGUAGCCAGGCUAAAGGAGAAAUGGAUGGCAGGAUGAGCGCUGAUGGGUCAGCCUUGAUUUCCCAACCGACCCAGACAGUCGAUGACCUGCAGAAGAAAGACUGUGGAUCCUGAAACUAAACCGAGAGCUGGGGGGUAGUGUGGAAGGUCUAUAAUGAGGAGACAAACACAUAAAAACACACACACACACACACACACACACACACACACACACACACACACACACACACACACUCUAUGUGGUUCAUUCCAAAUGUAAUGAAUCAUCAAUUCCUCCACAAUCUCGCCACACAAACACAGGCACUACCAUUCAUUAAAAACUCAGACAAGAAGACUUCAGACUGCAUUGAACUCUCACCUGCUUCCAGCUCUCGGUUUCCUUCAUCCAGUGGAGACAGCAGUCCCAGUUGGCAGAGAGAAUGAAAGCCUGAUCACCAAUUCCUCAGCAGAGGAACGGAUCAGUCUGGAUAAAUAUUAAAGACUCUGCUGAUAAAGCUGCAUCAAGUCAUGUAUUCAUAGACCUGUUCUUUUUCUCUGUCACUGUAAUCAUUUUCAGUAAAAAAGUGCAUAGUCCUUG